GGAUGCGAUCAUACCAGCACUAACGCACCGGAUCCCAUCAGAACUCCGAAGUUAAGCGUGCUUGGGCGAGAGUAGUACUAGGAUGGGUGACCCCCUGGGAAGUCCUCGUGUUGC
rnacentral:rRNA from 1 species